CCCUUAGAUGUUCUGGGCCGCACGCGCGCUACACUGACGAAUGCAACGAGCUUAUAACCUUGGCCGAAAGGUCUGGGUAAUCUCCAAAUUUCGUCGUGAUGGGGAUAGAUUAUUGCAAUUAUUAAUCUUCAACGAGGAAUUCCUAGUAAGCGCAAGUCAUCAACUUGCGUUGAUUACGUCCCUGCCCUUUGUACACACCGCCCGUCGCUACUACCGAUUGAAUGGUUUAGUGAGGCCUUCGGAUCCGCAACUCGUUUUGUGGAGAAGUUGGACAAACUCAGUCAUUUAGAGGAAGUAAAAGUCGUAACA
rnacentral:rRNA from 1 species